rnacentral:rRNA from 1 species
GACGAACGCUGGCGGCGUGCUUAACACAUGCAAGUCGAACGAAGAGCGAUGGAAGCUUGCUUCUAUCAAUCUUAGUGGCGAACGGGUGAGUAACGCGUAAUCAACCUGCCCUUCAGAGGGGGACAACAGUUGGAAACGACUGCUAAUACCGCAUACGAUCUGACCUCGGCAUCGAGGAUAGAUGAAAGGUGGCCUCUAUUUAUAAGCUAUCACUGAAGGAGGGGAUUGCGUCUGAUUAGCUAGUUGGAGGGGUAACGGCCCACCAAGGCGAUGAUCAGUAGCCGGUCUGAGAGGAUGAACGGCCACAUUGGGACUGAGACACGGCCCAGACUCCUACGGGAGGCAGCAGUGGGGAAUCUUCCGCAAUGGACGAAAGUCUGACGGAGCAACGCCGCGUGAGUGAUGACGGCCUUCGGGUUGUAAAGCUCUGUUAAUCGGGACGAAAGGCCUUCUUGCGAAUAGUUAGAAGG